ACCCCUACGGGGGGCAGCAGUGGGGAAUCUUGGACAAUGGGCGCAAGCCUGAUCUAGCGAUGCCGCGUGAGUGACGAAGGUCUUAGGAUCGUAAAGCUCUUUCGCCUGUGAUGAUAAUGACAGUAGCAGGUAAAGAAACCCCGGCUAACUCCGUGCCAGCAGCCGCGGUAA
rnacentral:rRNA from 1 species